UGGGGAAUAUUGGGCAAUGGGGGAAACCCUGACCCAGCAACGCCGCGUGAAGGAAGAAGGCCUUCGGUUGUAAACUUCUUUUAUCCAGGGAGCGAAGGACGUGACGGUACCUGGAGAAAAAGCAACGGCUAACUACGUGCCAGCAGCCGCGGUAAUACGUAGGUUGCGAGCGUUGUCCGGAUUUACUGGGUGUAAAGGGCGUGUAGGCGGAGAAGCAAGUUGGGAGUGAAAUCUAUGGGCUCAACCCAUAAACUGCUCUCAAAACUGUUUCCCUUGAGUAUCGGAGAGGCAAGCGGAAUUCCUAGUGUAGCGGUGAAAUGCGUAGAUAUUAGGAGGAACACCAGUGGCGAAGGCGGCUUGCUGGACGACAACUGACGCUGAGGCGCGAAAGCGUGGGGAGCAAACAGGAUUAGAUACC
rnacentral:rRNA from 1 species